UACGUAGGGUGCGAGCGUUAAUCGGAAUUACUGGGCGUAAAGCGUGCGCAGGCGGCGACAUAAGACAGAUGUGAAAUCCCCGGGCUCAACCUGGGAACUGCGUUUGUGACUGUGUUGCUAGAGUGUAGCAGAGGGGGGUGGAAUUCCACGUGUAGCAGUGAAAUGCGUAGAGAUGUGGAGGAACACCGAUGGCGAAGGCAGCCCCCUGGGUUAACACUGACGCUCAUGCACGAAAGCGUGGGGAGCAAACAGG
rnacentral:rRNA from 2 species